AUUCCUUGCCAGUGUGUCGAGGAAACUUCCCAAUUCUGUCAUAACAUCUUUACUAGGGCCAACAGGUUGGUUGUUUUCAUUUACUACUAUCAAUUUUCGCUCACGCCUUCCAUGUACAUUUAGCAUCUUUGUUUUACCUCUUUUCCUUUUUUGAGUAGAAGAAUCUACAAUAAUACAAACCAUAGAUAACCAUAAAAUUACAUGUUGUUCAGCUUUAUAAUUGAAAAUGAAUGCCAGUAUUUGUAUGAAAAUUCUUGCCUUGUUGUUCACGUUGUUCUUGUUCAUCAACUGUUGUAGAAUUUAAUUGAAUUUGUUCCUCUAAUGUUUCUGCUGCAGGGAUAGUUGUCUCUGUUUGUAUAUGGGCUACUACACCUGAAUUUUGUGGUGUUAGUAUCUGAUGGUCUUCAGCUAAAUUUGGCAGAAGCUCAUGCUCUUCACUCGACCGUGUACAUCUAGCUGGAACAUUUGUUUUCUUGGUCAAC
rnacentral:lncRNA from 1 species